UAGGGAAUCUUCCGCAAUGGGCGAAAGCCUGACGGAGCAACGCCGCGUGAGUGAUGAAGGUCUUCGGAUCGUAAAACUCUGUUAUUAGGGAAGAACAAAUGUGUAAGUAACUAUGCACGUCUUGACGGUACCUAAUCAGAAAGCCACGGCUAACUACGUGCCAGCAGCCGCGGUAAUACGUAGGUGGCAAGCGUUAUCCGGAAUUAUUGGGCGUAAAGCGCGCGUAGGCGGUUUUUUAAGUCUGAUGUGAAAGCCCACGGCUUAACCGUGGAGGGUCGUUGGAAACUGGAAAACUUGAGUGCAGAAGAGGAAAGUGGAAUUCCAUGUGUAGCGGUGAAAUGCGCAGAGAUAUGGAGGAACACCAGUGGCGAAGGCGACUUUCUGGUCUGUAACUGACGCUGAUGUGCGAAAGCGUGGGGAUCAAACAGG
rnacentral:rRNA from 1 species